rnacentral:lncRNA from 1 species
CACUCAGGUUGUCCGGCUUGGCAGCGGCAACACUCAGCGCUGAGCCAUCUCUCCAACCCUCUGGUUCAUUUCUUAUCAGGCUGGAGGUGCACACCUUUAGUGCCAGCACUCGGAAGACAGAAGCAGGAGGGUCUCCGUGAGCUAGAGGUCAGCUUGGUCUACAGAGUGACUUUCAGGACAGCCAGAACUACAGAAUGAGAGAGCAUGUCUCAAAAACAAAAACAAGCAAACAAGCAAAUAGAAAACCUCUAAACCAGCAUUGAAGCAUCAACCAGUGUGUCCUCGCAACUACAGCAGCAUCUGGAAUGUAAGAGGCUCCUUUAAACACAUGACAGGUUCUCUGCUGAGCCUGCCACAGUCUUUUUGAAAUUCUUUUCCUUCCAAAAAGGAAGAAGGAACAAAAGAAAGAAGAUCUGAGAUGGUGCAGGAGACCCAUCGUAAUCUGCUUGAAUCUUCAGGGAAACAGUGGAGAAAUGCUGAUAACAGGUAGCAGAAGUCGGUCACGUUUGGGCAGUGGUGUUGAUGAGACACAUCUGGAGAUGGACAUACAGGCAUCAUGCUGUUUCAGGAUACUAUGUCUAGUUCAACACAAUCAGAUGCUGGAAUUCCAAAAGGAAACAGAAAGGGAUCAGCCACAAAAUGUUCCUUGGUCAUGGUGUCUCUUCGCAGCAAUAGAAGAAUAACUACGACAGAAGCUUACCUCAAAGAGCUUGCUGACACAGCAAGGUGAUUUCACAAGAAGGAGAUCUGAGGCUUAGAGCCAGAGGAUGGGGUGCUGAGGCUGUGAACAAGCAUCCAUAGGAAAAGCAUUGGCCCCUCCAACGGACCUGUUAAUGAUGUCAUGAUGGAAGAGAGGUCACCAAGGAAACAGCAUGAUCCACGAAGAGAAACUGUGAGGUUAUAUCAUUCUUGCACAAAUAAAGCCUGUCUGGGGGGGGGGGUCAGAGAAUGGAGCUUGCCACUAGCUAACCAUAGAGGUCUGGAGGUCUGUACAGACAGACAGAAAGUGACAUAGCUUGGCAGAAACAGGGUAUAAGCAAGGAGAAACAGGAAAUGCCUGUCUUCUGUGCUGAGAUGCUUGGAGGUAAGGUGUGCUGUGGUUUGCUCCUUCUCUCUGAUCUCUCAGCAUUUCCCUCUGUAUCUGACUCUGGCUUUUCAUUAUCUAAACCAAUUAAGAACUCCUUUUACAAAACUGUCUUUAGCUCAUUCCAGAAUGAGAGAGCGUUAGUAGGGGCAGUUCUGUUUCCUGAGAGGUGCAGCCUUCUCUGCUCUUUAGGAACAGAACUUCCAUCUCCUCUCUUUCCUUGCCUCAGGAAAGGGAGGAGCCGCAGCGAGUGAGAUGCCAGGUGGAUAAGAAGACAGCAGGUGCCAGGGAAGAUGCCGGUUAUGUUUCUGUCUCCCGCAGCCAGCUUCAGGCACAAAGCAGUUCAGUGCUAGAGAGAGGAGGAUGGAACAGCACAAAGUACUGACUGUCCUCAGGAGGCCUUCUUUCCUUUGUUAUCCGAAGACUGGCAAGGACACAAAGAUAAUUCCAGCAUCUGUGACAUCUCAGUAUCGGCCUCCUUCAGUCAUCUUUUCCCGUUCAAGUGGAGAUUCUCCUUUGUAUGUUUUCCAUGCCACUGUCAUUUUUCAGCUGGACCCGUGCCAUAGCUUCCCAAGGGGUCUGUGGGAUAGGAUGUUGUUUCAGUCCCCGACGCUUGCAGUGAAGGCUGGAGGAGAGUGAUGCUGCCUAAUUUAUGACUGUGUAGGGCUGCGGUGGAGGAGGCAUGACCACGUGCAGUUGCAACCCGAGCUGCUGGAGUGGAUCCACAUUGAAGAUGAAACUCCAAAUGUUGACAGUGGCCAGGGUCUUUUCAAACAAGCUAGGCCAGAAAGGCUCAACAUUGAUACCAACUAAUUUAAUGAGGGCAGUGAUCUUAUCCUCCACGACCAUCUUCUUUCGAAGGACGAGGGCAGAGCACUUGCAGGCAAGCUCACAGAUGGAGGAUGUGCUAUAG